rnacentral:tRNA from 1 species
UCCCAGGUGGUCCAGUGGUCAAGGAUCUGCCUGCCAAUGCAGGGUGCACGGGUUCGAUCCCCGAUCUGGGAA